rnacentral:rRNA from 1 species
CACGUAGGGGGCGAGCGUUGUCCGGAUUCAUUGGGCGUAAAGGGCGCGCAGGCGGCCCGGAAAGUCGGAUGUGAAAACUCGAGGCUCAACCUCGAGCGUGCACCCGAUACUGCCGGGCUUGAGGCAGGUAGGGGAGAUCGGAAUUCCUGGUGUAGCGGUGAAAUGCGCAGAUAUCAGGAGGAACACCGGUGGCGAAGGCGGUUCUCUGGGCAUUACCUGACGCUGAGGAGCGAAAGCGUGGGGAGCAAACAGG